rnacentral:rRNA from 1 species
UCGAGUGGCGAACGGGUGAGUAACACGUGGGUGAUCUGCCCUGCACUUUGGGAUAAGCCUGGGAAACUGGGUCUAAUACCGAAUAUUUCCUGCUGGUUGCAUGACUGGUGGGGGAAAGCUUUUGCGGUGUGGGAUGGGCCCGCGGCCUAUCAGCUUGUUGGUGAGGUUAUGGCUUACCAAGGCGACGACGGGUAGCCGGCCUGAGAGGGUGACCGGCCACACUGGGACUGAGAUACGGCCCAGACUCCUACGGGAGGCAGCAGUGGGGAAUAUUGCACAAUGGGCGCAAGCCUGAUGCAGCGACGCCGCGUGAGGGAUGACGGCCUUCGGGUUGUAAACCUCUUUCAGUAGGGACGAAGCGAAAGUGACGGUACCUGCAGAAGAAGGACCGGCCAACUACGUGCCAGCAGCCGCGGUAAUACGUAGGGUCCGAGCGUUGUCCGGAAUUACUGGGCGUAAAGAGCUCGUAGGUGGUUUGUCGCGUUGUUCGUGAAAACUCACAGCUUAACUGUGGGCGUGCGGGCGAUACGGGCAGACUGGAGUACUGCAGGGGAGACUGGAAUUCCUGGUGUAGCGGUGGAAUGCGCAGAUAUCAGGAGGAACACCGGUGGCGAAGGCGGGUCUCUGGGCAGUAACUGACGCUGAGGAGCGAAAGCGUGGGGAGCGAACAGGAUUAGAUACCCUGGUAGUCCACGCCGUAAACGGUGGGUACUAGGUGUGGGUUUCCUUCCUUGGGAUCCGUGCCGUAGCUAACGCAUUAAGUACCCCGCCUGGGGAGUACGGCCGCAAGGCUAAAACUCAAAGAAAUUGACGGGGGCCCGCACAAGCGGCGGAGCAUGUGGAUUAAUUCGAUGCAACGCGAAGAACCUUACCUGGGUUUGACAUGCACAGGACGACUGCAGAGAUGUGGUUUCCCUUGUGGCCUGUGUGCAGGUGGUGCAUGGCU